UUGUUUAUAUUAUUAUUAAUUUUUAAUUUAAUAUAAGGAAUUAGGCAAAAAGAUUUACGCCUGUUUAUCAAAAACAUGUCUUCUUGAUAAUAAUUUGAAGUCUGACCUGCUCACUGAUAAAUUAUUAAAGAGCCGCGGUAUUUUGACCGUGCAAAGGUAGCAUAAUCACUAGUCUUUUAAUUAAAGGCUUGUAUGAAUGGUUUGACGAUAAAUCGACUGUCUCUUAUUAAUAGUUUGAAUUUAACUUUUAAGUUAAAAGGCUUAAAAUUUUUCUUUAGGACGAGAAGACCCUAUAGAGCUUUACAUUUUUAUUUUAUAUAAUUUUUAGAUUAAGAUAUAUUUAUAUAAAAAGUUAAUGUUUUGUUGGGGUGAUAUGAAAGAUAAAUAAACCUUUCUUUUUAAAUUCAUUAAUUUAUGUUUAAAUUGAUCCAUAAUUUAUGAUCAUAAGAUUAAGUUACCUUAGGGAUAACAGCGUAAUUGUUUUUGAGAGCUCUUAUCAACAAAGCAGAUUGCGACCUCGAUGUUGGAUUAAGAAAAAUGUUAGGUGCAGAAGCCUAAUAAUUAGGUCUGUUCGACCUUUAAAUUCUUACAUGAUCUGAGUUCAGACCGGCGUAAGCCAGGUUGGUUUCUAUCCUAAGUUAAUUUAUCUUCAUUAGUACGAAAGGACCAUGUAGAUUAAAUAAUUUUUAUUUUAUUGAUUAAAAUUAAUUUUU
rnacentral:rRNA from 1 species